UGCGUAGGCGGGCUAAUAAGUCAGUGGUGAAAUCUCUCGGCUCAACCGGGAAACUGCCAUUGAUACUGUUAGUCUUGAGUUCGGUUGAGGUAGGCGGAAUGUGUAAUGUAGCGGUGAAAUGCUUAGAUAUUACACAGAACACCAAUUGCGUAGGCAGCUUACUAGACCGACACUGACGCUGAGGCACGAAAGCGUGGGGAUCAAACAGGAUUAGAUACCCUGGUAGUC
rnacentral:rRNA from 1 species